ensembl:lncRNA
CUGACUGGCAUCAACACUAACUCUGCAUUAAAUGUCCUGAUGUUUUAAUUCCCUGGGGAAAUCUGCUGACCCGGUGAUUCCUGAUGCAGUGGACAAGCUCAGCUGCUGUAGCAGAGCUGUGGCCACCAGAAGAAGGACCAGAGCAGCCUCCUGCUGAUGUAACCUCAAUUUCCCACCAAGCCUGAGCAUUUCUGACAGCAGAAAGCAUUUACCAGUGGACUGCUGAGCACAUCAGUAUGGAUACAGUUCUCUUGCUGUUUGGAUUGGGAGAGCCAUCACUCUGAUCAGAAACUGAAAUCCUGCUUUGUGCUCCUCCAGUGUGGAAAUCUGUCAGCUCCUGUGACCCCUAUUACUGCAAUACCCGAGAACAUCACCUCUGGUCCUGCACUGAGCCUCGCAGUAUCUGAAGAAAGUUAGACUUGCAUUAAUAUUAUUUUCCUCUGUUCUAGAUGGAGAACUGAGGC